rnacentral:rRNA from 2 species
UCUGGUGAUGAUGGCGAAGAGGUCACACCCGUUCCCAUGCCGAACACGGAAGUUAAGCUCUUCAGCGCCGAUGGUAGUCGGGGGUUCCCCCCCUGUGAGAGUAGGACAUCGCCAGGC